AGCCUGCCUGCUGCCAGUUCUCCCUACUUCUGCCAGUGAUGACAUUCAGCUUGCUCCUCCACACAGGAUACAGCACUGAUUCCUCAUUAUGUAAGGCAGUCUAGGUCAAGUGUAGGAGAGACACUGCUGGCCUGAGCAAGCUAGUGGAUUGCUCCCUGAGCUUCAUGCUUCAUGAGGUCUGGAAGCUGGAUCCUGAUCUUUGCUACAUCUGCUUGGCACAAGAAAUUGGCCAGGUGGACAUCAAGCUCUUUCAGCGUCUUUUCUAAAAUGGAUUUCUUCUCUGCUCCUUGUCUGAGUAU
rnacentral:lncRNA from 1 species